UACGUAGGGGGCUAGCGUUAUCCGGAAUUACUGGGCGUAAAGGGUGCGUAGGUGGUUUCUUAAGUCAGAGGUGAAAGGCUACGGCUCAACCGUAGUAAGCCUUUGAAACUGGGAAACUUGAGUGCAGGAGAGGAGAGUGGAAUUCCUAGUGUAGCGGUGAAAUGCGUAGAUAUUAGGAGGAACACCAGUUGCGAAGGCGGCUCUCUGGACUGUAACUGACGCUGAGGCACGAAAGCGUGGGGAGCAAACAGGAUUAGAUACCCCUGUAGUCCCUGAGCGGG
rnacentral:rRNA from 1 species